GAUGAGCUGGGAGGAAACAGGGGAAACGUCUUGGUUUCAUGCUGCCAUGGACGUUCACGGAUGCGUGCUCGAGCGGAUGGGGGAUUGCUGAAGUGGAAUGCAAACGGUUUGGCUUCUUUCCUUUGCUGCCGUUGAUGUUUUGAGUAUAGAUGAAUGAUGGGAAGAAAGGAAUGCAGCUGAAUAUUCUUGAAAUGGGGGAAUCCGAAACCAUGAAUGAGAUGUGGCUUGAAUUGAAGAGCCGGUUUGGCUUAGGUCCCUUGGGUUUGAUUUAGGUCCCAUGGGUUUGAUUUAGGUCCCAUGGAGGAGAUGCCAUGAUGCUUGGAAAGCCACAUGGACGGUUUUGAUGAUGCUAGGAAGCUCCACGAUGCGGGCAUUUGUGCUAGCUGAAACAUGUGGUUACAGUGAUAUGAAUUUCAUGCGAAUGACGGGCGACGUGAGGCUCAGAUGAGACGCUAAGGAUUUGUUGAGCUCGAACUACCGGGCAUUGGGCUAAAAUCCAGCAUUAUAGGGUCUUUUGAAUUACAUGCACUCAGACACAGAUAAAGCAUUAAUUAAUUAAUUUUAUUAAUAAAAAUUAGCUAUAAUACUAAUUAAGAUAAUAUGAAAAUUUCACUUUUGUACUCUCAUCACACCCCCCAACUAGCUUAUUGCUAGUCUCUAGCAAUUUAGUGUGAAAAUGAUAAAAUGAGGGUGCAAAAGUAUUGUUUAUUUUAUUAAUAUAUGAUGAGAGCACAAAAGUGUGAUCUACACAUCACUUAAAUUAGUAUUAUUGCUAAUAAAUAAUGAUAGAAGUGCUGUAUUAA
rnacentral:lncRNA from 1 species